CCCUGAGAUGAGUCAUCCCUGACCCCUUGAGGGUCCUAAAGGGCCGUUGGAGACCACAACGUUGAUAGGUGGGGUGUUUAAGCGCGGCGACGUGUUGAGCUAACCCAUACUAAUUACCCGUGAGGCUUAACCAUACAACACCCAAGAAGUGUU
rnacentral:rRNA from 1 species